rnacentral:rRNA from 1 species
AUUGAACGCUGGCGGAAUGCUUUACACAUGCAAGUCGAACGGCAGCACGGACUUCGGUCUGGUGGCGAGUGGCGAACGGGUGAGUAAUGUAUCGGAACGUGCCCAGUCGUGGGGAUAACGUAGUGAAAAUUACGCUAAUACCGCAUACGAUCUAUGGAUGAAAGCGGGGGAUCGCAAGACCUCGCGCGAUUGGAGCGGCCGAUAUCAGAUUAGGUAGUUGGUGGGGUAAAGGCCCACCAAGCCAACGAUCUGUAGCUGGUCUGAGAGGACGACCAGCCACACUGGAACUGAGACACGGUCCAGACUCCUACGGGAGGCAGCAGUGGGGAAUUUUGGACAAUGGGCGAAAGCCUGAUCCAGCCAUUCCGCGUGCAGGAUGAAGGCCCUCGGGUUGUAAACUGCUUUUGUACAGAACGAAAAGGUUUCUACUAAUACUAGGAGCUCAUGACGGUACUGUAAAAAUAAGCACCGGCUAACUACGUGCCAGCAGCCGCGGUAA